ACCGCGCCAGAAGAGCCAGCCCGGAUCGCCCGCGGCGCCCUGCGCGGUCCGGAGGGGAGGGUCCUGGAGGAGGGGCGGCCCGAGCCCCAAUCUGGAAAUGCCAACUCCGCUCUGCGGCCGGGCCCCAGCCUAGAAGGAAACGGAAGUCCCUUCGUCUCCCGCAGGCGCACCCACCAGCCCGCCCAUCGCCCGGAGGAGCCCCGAGUCGGGGAACCCGAGGUGUGUCUGACCAUUACCUGGUCUCCUGACUGGCCUCUCUAUCCCUAGGACUGGUCCCCUGCAGUACAGCCUGCACAAGGCCAUAGAGCCAUCUGGCAAAAAAACUGAGGACCUCAGUCCAACAGCCAGCGAGGAACUGAAUCCUGCCAAAAACCAUGUGACUGAACUUGGACAUGGAUCCUGUCCCAGCUGAGCCUUGAGAUAAGACUGCAGCCCCAGCUGAUAAUUGAUGGCAGCCUGUGAGAGACCCUGAGUGGACACAUUGAUGGAAAUCCUGAGAGAUUGUUAAGUAGAUGACUCAGUUAGGCCAUGCUAUUCCUGACCUGUAGAAACAGUGAGAUCAUAAAUGUGUGUUGCUUAAGCUAAGUUUUAUUUUUUUUAAAAGUGGAAUUCAAGAUUAAAAGCAAUAAACAAUACA